rfam:Hordeum vulgare subsp. vulgare, WGS project CAJW01000000 data, contig: morex_contig_2562818
CUACUACUCCGUCCGUCCGGAAAUACUUGUCCUAGAAAUGGAUGUAUCUAGACUUAUUUUAGUUCAAGAUACAUCCAUUGUACAUAUUUUUAGGACAAGUAUUUUCGGAUGGAGGGAAUAUUAA